rnacentral:lncRNA from 1 species
GCACGAGGCGCUCUCCGAGUACCGGCCCACCAUCUCCGAGACCCACCAGCUUCGGGGCCGCUCCUCCGUGGCUGACAAGAAGCUGGUCCUCAUCCCGCUCAUCUUCAUCUGCCUCCGGGUCUGGAGCACCGUGCGCUUCGUCCUGACCCUCUGCGGCUCCCCGGCCGUGCAGGUGCCGGUGUUGGUCGUUCUGCAUGGUGUCGGGAACACGUUUCAGGGAGGCGCCAAUUGCAUCAUGUUCGCCCUCUGCACCCAGGCGGUCCGGACUCGGCUCCUGCAAGUCUGCUGCUGCUGCUCCUCUCAGUCUCCCACCACCGAGACCCAGGAGGGCCCUCCCGCCGCCUCCGCACCCAUCAAGGCGGGCAAGUCUCAGGGCCCCAGCUGGGCCCCAGACCAACAACUGAGCACCUGAGCUCCCCGCUCCCUAGCUCUGUGCGUAGGUGCUGCCACCUGGGGCCAGGUGGCUCAGAGUCCCCUCUGUGGGGGGGCUGUGCUGUGACUGUUGGCAGUUGGAACUUUUGACCCCUGUGGGGGAGCAGUGCAAACUCAGCUUGUCUACCUCCUUGACCCUCAGGCACGACCCCUCACACCCCGCUGCACUGGGGGGAGUUCGUGUGCAUGAGGGCUGGCACUGACAUUCAGGGAAACCAGUGGUGUGGGAUCAGGGCCACGCUGCCUUGUGGCCAGCGGAUCAUCGGCCUCGUUUACAGGUGGAGGGACCCACACCUGUGGGAAAAGCACAAAGAGACAUGCUCACUGUAUACCCGUCCUCAAUAAAAUGCCAGGGGCUACCAGAGAUGCGGCCCCCACCAAGGUAUCACGGAGCAGAUUCCUGGUUUGUCAGAGCGUUGAGAUUCUCCCUCGAGCCUGACUUUUCUUGGAUAGCUUUGCUGGUCAACAAAAGGGCAGUAGCUUUGACCAGGAGGUGACCGCCGUGAGCACAGCCCCGCACAGCUGCUCAGGGCAGCUGGUCCCCUCGGAGCCUCCCAAAUUCUGGGGCUGUCAGCCCUUGAUGUAGAUUGCGUUAAUUUCAAGCACAGGCUGGGAUCCAGUCUCCCGCCUCCACCAGGCACUUAAAAUAAGGGUCCCUCCUCCAGUUCCAGGGCUGGAACGGUGCAGUGACACCUGACUGUCACUCGGGUUUGUUCUUUUUUGGGGUGGAGGACUGCACCCAAGCAGAAGUUCCCAGGCCAGAGACUGAACAUGAGCCACAGCAGUGACAACACCAGAUCCUUAAUCCACUGUGUCACAAGGAACUUCCUAGGUGUCCUUCUUUAAAAGGUUGUUAUGAGUAGUUCCUGUUGUGGCGCAGCAGAAGUGAAUCCUACUUGUAUCCCUGAGGAUGCAGGUUCAAUCCCUGUUCUCGUUCGGUGGGUUGAGGAUCUGGCAUUGCCGUGAGCUGUAGUGUAGGUCACAAACACGACUUGGAUCCUGCAUUGCUGUGGCUGUGGUGUAGGCUGGCAGCUGUAGCUCCAAUUUGACCCCUAGCCUGGGAUGUCCAUAUGCUGAGGGUAUAGCCCU